AGUGGUAGGAACCAGGAAGGAACAGGGACAACCACCGGUGAGUGGAGCAAGUGAACAGCUACCUUUCACGUUGUGCCCGUACAACCAAAUAUAUGUCCAAAGCAGGUGAUCAGAGUGUUUGUAAUAUUUUUGUAUACUUUUUUAUAUUGAGCAUCAUACCCUCAUUAUUUUCUUUCAACGGCAGGGGUGGACAUGCUUACAUUGCAUGCAAUGGGCUGGAACCAUAAAAAAGUAUCUCUCUACAUCAGGCACUUUCCACAAUAUAUGUGAAAACAUCCAGCACGAGACUGCAAGGCUAGCAGAACUAAAAACAAAGCUACAUCGCACAGAUAAAGGAACGUCACAAUGGCUUUCUGAUGUGAAAGAAUGGGUAGCUCGUGGUACUACUAUGUGAAAUUUUUAGUUUGAUAUUAAACAAGUGCCAAAGAUGGCAGGCUUAUCAUCUAUUUCUUAACCUCCUAAGACCUGGUGUGUCCACAUACAUGGACAUCACAUUUUUUGUUGUUUGCAUCAUAAUACUUUAUUCUGUGUAACUGGAACCUGGUACACAAACAUGAACAAUUACACUGCUUCAUUUUCAAAAAAAAAAAAUAUUUGGUUAAUAUAUUUAUUGAUUUUUCCUGACCCCAAAUAGCUGGAAGAAAUCUAAAAUGCAAGCCAAACCAAAGCUCGGGUCUUAGAAGGUUAAACAGUUGGUGACAUCUCCUGCCACCAUAAACAAGCCAACUUCAUCUCACCAUCAAAUGUUAUUGCACAUUUAUGUUGUGUUUAUGUUUAUUAUAGUUUCUUUGCAGGAACCAUACAUAUCAAGUAAAGUUGUUUAAACCAUUAAAAUGGCUUUUAUAUACAAAUUUAUCCUCUGAAAUGUUUGUGUGUUGUUUAAACAGUGAAUUUGCUUUCAUUAUCACUUCUACAGAGACAUCAGAAACAUCUCAUGCCAGUCAAGGCACCACACACAGAAAACUUUAUCUUAGUGUGAUGCUGCGCAAGCAGACUCUCUACUGUCAGAAUGACAGCAGCAAGCUUUGCCACCGCCUUCAAAGGAAGCUGGCAGAUGACAAAAGCUCCUUCUUCAGGAGAUACAGAACUACAAUGAUCUUGUACUAGACUCUGCCACAAACAUCAUUGACCUAGCUGUGGUGGAGCAUUCCCUCACUGGAGAGAGCAGUGUGUCUCAGAUAUGGCCGUGGGACCUUCAUGGCAGUGCAAACAUUUCAGUCAAGAAACGAUUGCAUGACCAAGUGAUGUUGACAAUGCGACUGCACGAGGAAAGGGGCAUUGUGGUGUUGGAGAUGGCUCAACAAUACACAUGGUUGCAGAGCCUGGCAGUGGCUCUCAAGAACAAGAUGGCUGAGGAGGACAAGGGAAAUGAAGGACUUUGCUGUCUCUUAAGAAGAAGAUCGUCAGUGGUGUCAGAAGGGUUACAAGUCGUCCUUCAACAAUACAAGACUGCAUUAGGUCUUGAGGCCUCUGUCCUUCUACAUGUUGAAGAAGAAGAUCAAAGUGACCUCAGCAGUCCAGAUACCAGCGAGGAUGAAGAGGAAAACAUAAUUUAGAUAGAAACUGCACAAAGGACUGCGUUUAAGGAAAUGGACUUGGCAUAUAUCUGUGUAGUGUUAGUAUGCUAACUACAUUAUUAUCUGUAUGCAUCCUAUAUUGUUAAAAUGUUCAACCUGUGUCUAGAUUAUCAAGCAUGUUAUUUAGCACGUUGAUGCUCCUUAAAUAUGCACAAACAUCUCAAUAUAGGUGCAAGAAUCGUAUGAUAUUAUCAGAUGUAAUAAUUGAACUUAUGUUAUAUUUGGAUAGUGUAUUCAUAAUUUGUGUAUUUAAAGUUGCUAAUGGGCAUUGUUAGCCACAUCACAAACUCACUGUUAAAACACUGCUUAUUGUGCCUUAUUGUGUUUAUGUACUUGCAUUGGUGCAGUAAUAUUGAAUGCAGUAAGGUCAUUGGUGUGUUUUAGCUUUGAACACAUAACACAGAGCUCAACCAAUCAGAAUAAUCAUUGAUAAUGAAGUAAAAGUUUUAAACGGGUAAGUUGAUAUGAAAUAUUGUAAGCACAUUCAUCAGGAUGACUUUGCUGACCUUGUGACCUUUAUUACCACAUUUAGGCCAAAAUGUGAAAACUCUACUUGAUUGAGUGUAUUAUAGGAUAUAACUGUUGUGCACCAUUGAAGAUAAACAUCAUAAAUUCUUUCUUAAAGAUGGAUAAUUUGUUGGCAAUGUGUCUGUCACUAUUAAACACUAUAGUAUGCAAAAGAAAAA